rnacentral:rRNA from 1 species
GUAGGGGGCAAGCGUUAUCCGGAUUUACUGGGUGUAAAGGGAGCGUAGACGGCAGCGCAAGUCAGAUGUGAAAACCCGGGGCCCAACCCCGGGACUGCAUUUGAAACUGCCAUGCUGGAGUGCCGGAGAGGUAAGUGGAAUUCCUAGUGUAGCGGUGAAAUGCGUAGAUAUUAGGAGGAACACCAGUGGCGGAGGCGGCUUACUGGACGGUAACUGACGCUGAGGCUCGAAAGCGUGGGGAGCA